GAUGAACGCUGGCGGCGUGCCUAAUACAUGCAAGUCGAGCGAACGGACGAGAAGCUUGCUUCUCUGAUGUUAGCGGCGGACGGGUGAGUAACACGUGGAUACCCUCCUUAUAAGACGGGGAAAAUUUGGGAAAUCCGGAGCUAAUACGGGAUAAUCUUUUGAACCGAAGGGUUAAAAGGUAAAAUUCGGCCUUUCGGUAUCUAAUAGAGGGUUCCGCGCUGCAUUGGCUAGUUGGUAAGGUAACGGCUUACCAAGGCAACGAUGCAUAGCCGACCUGAGGGGGUGAUCGGCCACCCUGGAACUGAGACACGGUCCAGACUCCUACGGGAGGCAGCAGUAGGGAAUCUUCCGCAAUGGGCGAAAGCCUGACGGAGCAACGCCGCGUGAGUGAUGAAGGUCUUCGGAUCGUAAAACUCUGUUAUUAGGGAAGAACAUAUGUGUAAGUAACUGUGCACAUCUUGACGGUACCUAAUCAGAAAGCCACGGCUAACUACGUG
rnacentral:rRNA from 1 species